rnacentral:rRNA from 1 species
GGCCAGACUCCUACGGGAGGCAGCAGUGGGGAAUAUUGCACAAUGGGGGAAACCCUGAUGCAGCGACGCCGCGUGAGUGAAGAAGUAUUUCGGUAUGUAAAGCUCUAUCAGCAGGGAAGAUAAUGACGGUACCUGACUAAGAAGCCCCGGCUAACUACGUGCCAGCAGCCGCGGUAAUACGUAGGGGGCAAGCGUUAUCCGGAUUUACUGGGUGUAAAGGGUGCGUAGGUGGCAGGGCAAGUCAGAUGUGAAAGCCCGGGGCUCAACCCCGGUACUGCAUUUGAAACUGUCCAGCUGGAGUGCAGGAGAGGUAAGCGGAAUUCCUAGUGUAGCGGUGAAAUGCGUAGAUAUUAGGAGGAACACCAGUGGCGAAGGUGGCUUACUGGACUGUAACUGACACUGAGGCACGAAAGCGUGGGGAGCAAACAGGAUUAGAUACCCCUGUA